rnacentral:rRNA from 1 species
GGGAUUGCCUCAGUAACGGCGAGUGAAGCGGCAACAGCUCAAAUUUGAAAUCUGGUCCCCUCUGGGGGCCCGAGUUGUAAUUUGAAGAGGAUGCUUUUGGCGAGGCGCCUUCCGAGUGCCCUGGAACGGGACGCCACAGAGGGUGAGAGCCCCGUAUGGUAGGACGCCGAGCCUCUGUAAAGCUCCUUCGACGAGUCGAGUAGUUUGGGAAUGCUGCUCAAAAUGGGAGGUAAACCCCUUCUAAAGCUAAAUAUUGGCCAGAGACCGAUAGCGCACAAGUAGAGUGAUCGAAAGAUGAAAAGCACUUUGAAAAGAGAGUUAAACAGCACGUGAAAUUGUUGAAAGGGAAGCGCUUGCGACCAGACUUGCGCCCGUCGGAUCAACCGUCCCUCGUGGGCGGCGCACUCCGGCGGGCUCAGGCCAGCAUCAGUUUUCCCGGGGGGAGAAAGGCGGUGGGAACGUAGCUCUUCGGAGUGUUAUAGCCCGCCGCGUAAUGCCCUCGGGGGGACUGAGGACCGCGCGUAUGCAAGGAUGCUGGCGUAAUGGUCGUCAGCGACCCGUCUUGAAACACGGACCAAGGAGUCGUCCUAAUAUGCGAGUGUACGGGUGUAAAACCCCUGCGCGUAAUGAAAGUGAACGGAGGUGAGAGCUUCGGCGCAUCAUCGACCGAUCCUGAUGUUCUCGGAUGGAUUUGAGUAAGAGCAUAUUGGGCCGGACCCGAAAGAAGGUGAACUAUGCCUGUAUAGGGUGAAGCCAGAGGAAACUCUGGUGGAGGCUCGCAGCGGUUCUGACGUGCAAAUCGAUCG